UUCAGUUUUGGUCUAAGGAUUUUCUCAGCAGCUGCAGCGUGAGAAGUUGAUUUCACCACAGCAGUCAGUCAGUCCUACGUUGCUCUUGGCAGCAGCUCGGCUUCGGCACAGAAACAGCAGCAUCAUCUGGUCUGUGUGUUGUGGGUGGACGUGACCUGUGACUCUGCACUGAAAACAUGAGCUACAGCAGCAGCACAUGAAAACACCACAUCACUGCGAAGUGAUAUGACCGUUUACAGUGGUGGGGUGAGUUGCAGAGCAGGUCGUCUUCGUUAGCCAGAUAAAUUAAGCUGGAAAGCCUCUGAAUCGGCCUUCUGACCUCGGUGGCGAGGUCAGCAGUGUGGAGAGAACAAGGGAUCUGUUUUAGCAUUCACUGGACUCUGUGGUUAAUGUAAUACUGAUUCAUUUGUGACUGUACAAGCUAAAAAAGUUUUCUUGGUGUCAGUUCU
ensembl:lncRNA